UGCUCUAUGCCAUAUUCAAGGUUCUUAGAAGAACCUUGUUCUUAAGGGGGGGAUGUUACGACCCCUUCCUUCUCCUGCAGGAGGCUGCAGGCAGGGAGGCUGAUUGGGCUGCACCUGUGCAGCUCUCUUCAGAGCUUAUUUAGCCAGGACUGAUCAGUGUUUUGUCUUCCAACCAACGAUACUUCAACAAAACUACAAGCUCGUGCAGAUUGUUCUGCUCUGGACUACAUAAUGUUGGUUAUGCGUGUGGCUGAACUCCUCCUAAUUACUGUGAUUACUGUUCUUCUCAUCAGAGCUCGAGAGACUACCUGACAACAACACAGUGACCUACAGCAGCGUGAAAGCUUCCUCUUCUUCUGCU